ACAGUGCCAGGGGCUUCCAGACAUCUGCGAGUACUCACACCUGGGCUCCUGGAGAAGUCUCCCCAUCUGGACCAGCCACGGGGCCACACAUUACCUCAAGAAUGGGUCACACCAUGAAGGGGCCCAUCCAUCAACAGUGUCCUCUGGGCUCCCAGCUCGUUUUCCCACACUCGUAUGCACAGUGAGUUUGAAUUAAACGUGUUACACUAGCCUGCCUGGGAGACCCAGACCUAGGCAUACCUGGCGCUCUUGACCCCAAAUUCCAAUGAGGACUGGCCCCCAGGGGUCCUCACUGACCUGCUGCCUCCCAGACAGCAGGCCCAAAGAUGGAUAACCACCCCCGGCUGAGUCACACUCGAUCGUGCGCUGGCUUUUCCCGGGUGGAGAAACCGCAGAGAACUGCUCCAAUGUGGUCAUGUUCUAAACGAUGACCCUUGUACCUGCCUGCUAAGGGCCACCGACCUUGACCUGCCUUGGAGGACGAGGAUGGGUGCGCAGACCAGCCGCUUCCUGUCUGAGGCCACAGAGCAGACGCCACCCCACUGUACAAUCUAAUUUGCUGGACAAACUUGCUGGUCUCCUCUGCUUAGCAACACGCCUACAGUUGGCACAUCUGCGUUUUGGCAUCCGAGGCUCACCUCUGAGAGGAGAAAGUGUUGUGUUUAUUAGAAAGGAAGUCUUGUGAAAACAACUCGGUGCUGCCGGCGUUCAUGGAUUUUUCUGGUAGAAUGGCCGGCAUGGUUACUGAGGGGGUGGAGAUUCUCUAAUGUGCUCAAGCAAACCAUCUUUUCGAUUAAAUGAUUGUGCUAAAAAGAAAGAAAGGCAAUAGAAAGGAAUUGGAUAAAAAGAGUAACUAUCUUCUUCAACCUUCGUUCACUUAUUUACUAAUUAAGUCAAAUCAGGAAGUAUGAUUUUUGACAUCGCCUGGGGAAUUUCUGAAUUUGUAAGGGAAUCCCUUGCUCCCAUAGUAAUGCCGUCAUGUUAAUACACCUGCUCUCCAUGAACAAUAAGUCUACAUGACCGAUUCCUUUAAAACAUGUGUUACUUCCUGGAAUGAAUCUAUUAUUAUAAGUAAUCUUUUGAUCCAAUACCAGCGGUAUAAAUAAUACUUUUGCUCUUCCUAA